GUGCUUACUUCAACAGCACAUAUACUAAAAUUGGAACAAUGCAGAGAAGAUUAGCAUGGCUCCUGCGCAAGGAUGACCAGAUGUGAAGAUACAAUGUAAUGUGCAUUU